ensembl:snoRNA
UCAUGGUUUGGAUUCUUUAAAAGUAUUUCUGGUUUCAAGAGUAUCUACUAAAAUCGUUCCAUGCCAGAGCAAGCUGUGGCCCUGAACCAUUGCCUGGCCUCUGCCUGUGGGCUGCUGAAGAGGGUUGCACAGUA